rfam:Amborella trichopoda AMTR_V1.0_contig_8531, whole genome shotgun sequence.
CUCACACCCAUGUGUGUAGAACCCCAAAUGAUCACUAUUAAAUUUGAUACAGAUCUCUAUAAAGGUUAUCACAUGGUUGUGGGACUUGACUUCUUUAGAGAUCUGUACCAAAUUUAAUGGUGAUUAUUUGGGGUCCUACACACAUGGGUGUGGG